CUUCCAACUUCACCCGCUUUCUGAGGGGAAAAAACCCUUAAUCAACGCUCUAACAGCGACUCAAAGCGAUGGUGAUUCUGCAAAUAACGUUUCUUUCAAGUCUCAUUUCUUUUCUAUUUGUACUGCUAAUCUUCCUCAAAACCCUAAAAUAAAGGCUGACACUCCAAUGAGUGCUACUUAAAAGCUAAACACAGUUGGCAUAAUUUAGCAUUUAACGGUCAAAUUUGGAAAUUCUAUUGCUUCAACGACAAUACAAAAAUAGGGUUCAAUUUCUUUCCUUUAUAUGUUUACAUUAUGGAUACCGUAGAGGUGUUAGGGAAUGGAGGAGUUGGUGAUGGGUGUGGCGUAAGUUCAUGUCGUGAUAAUGCUUAUGUGGGAAUAAUGAAUGGUGGCAAAGGAAGUGAGAUGUUGGGUGAUGAGAUUUUGGAGGACUUUGAUUUGUAUUGGGAAGAUAUAAAUGAGCGUUUAACGGUUUCGAGGAUGGUGAGUGACUCACUUAUUAAGGGAAUGGUAAGUGCUGUGGAGCAGGAGGCGGCUGAGAGAAUAAUGGCUAAGGAAAUAGAAUUGACCAAAGUAAAGGAUUGUUUGCAAUUUCAUGAUGUGGGUCUGAGUAAAACUGAAUCUUUGGGGUCACGCGUCUUGCAGGAUGAGCUAGAAAGUUUGAAUUUUCAGAAGCAUUUCAGUUUAUCAGAUGUUUUCCGGGAACAUGAGAAGAUGAGAGAGAUUUCAGGUGGACUAAGAAAUUCAGCAAUGGAUCAACUCAAGAAGCUGAAGAAGGGCAUUGAUAGGGUUAGAGGCUCCAAUUCUAUCAGGAGGAUCGGUUCUGGUUCAGAGUUGGUGGGUCUGGGUGGCAUUUUGCGAGAGCAAGAAUCUGAAAGUUGGGUUCAUGUGACCAAAACAGUGAAGCAUCUGAAAAUGACCAUGGAUACAAUUUUUACACGUAUGGAUGAAAUGGUACAGUUAUCCAAGGCAUCAGUUGAGCGGUGGCAGGAGGAGCAUCUGAUUGAGGUGGAGGUUGAGGCCAUGGUGAUGCGGAAUCUGAUCCAGAGUAUGCAGGAAGGUUUUGAGGACAAAUUGUGGGAUCAGUGUAGUCAAUCUUGUGAUGCUCAAAUUGAGAAAUUUAAUGAGAUCUCUAGUCUACGAAAUGACUUAGAGGUUAUUUUGAAGUCAAUGUCUAGUAUAGAAACAGGGCGUCUGACUUCACAUGGUUCUCAGGAUGUUGACUACUUUCACCGUAAGAUGUCAAGCGAGCAUUUGACUUCUUCAAAAUCUAUUUCGGAGGGAAAUGGGAAGGUGGAGGGCUCAAAAAGCGAUAUACCUGAGAAGUUUGAAGCUGCCACAUUGAAACACAUGUCGCAGGAGGAAAUGGUGGACUAUUUUAAUGAUAUGAUGACAAAGAUGAAGAGAGAACAUGAAUCCAUUCUGGAAAGGAAAACUGAUGACUACUUUGCUCUAAGAGCUGUAUAUCUAACUCUGAUAGGAAGCGGGUCUGUUGUGCCGCAAAAGAAAGAUCAGGGGGAAUUUGAUUUUCUUAGAAAGAAAAUCCCAGAAGUUAUAAUGAAAUUAGAAGAUAUAUUUGUAGAGACUGAAAAGUGUCCUGAAUUUACUCAAAGAGCUGCAAAUUUGAAUAACUUGAAGGAAAGAAUUGACACCCUUGUUUCUGAAAAUCGUCAGCUAAGAGACUUGCUUAGAGAUAAGAAAAAUGAAGUAAGGUUUCUGUUGUCCGAAGCCUCUGCUGCUGCUGAGAAGAGUCUGCAACACUCUUUGGCUGAAGAAAACAUGCAGAAGCAGAUAGGAGAUCUCAAUUUAGUGGUGGAAGAUUCACAGAUUUCAGCUUCAGUCAGGGAAGAAGUGUAUAAAUGUUUCCUAAGGGAUCUCAUUAGAAAGAAAGGCAGCGAAGCUGAUGAAUCAAACAUGGAGUUCCAUAUUAUGAAUGACAUUUAUGAUAUUAUUUUGGCAAAAGCUUACAUUAAUGCCGAAAGUACUUGCAAUUCUGAACUUGAAGAUUCAGAGUUGGAGUGUCUGAUAAUGCAAGGUCUUUAUGGAGUGAUUUUCAGUGAAGGAAUCAAGGAUUCUCAGGACAAGCUCAAGGAAUUGUACCAGGAUUAUUUGAAUGAAAAUGAAAAUCGGAUAUUUCUUGAGAUGAAAGCUAUUCAGAAGGAUUAUGAAUUAAAAUUGGAGGUUGAGGAGAAGGAAAAACUAAAGCAAAUGAUUUAUCUGCUGGAAAGGUCAGUGGAUGAAAAGGAAAAAUUAUCAAGUGAGGCGUCAACUGCUCUAGCAAAGGAGAAGGAAAAAUUCGAGUUGGUAACUGAAGUUGCUAUUCAGAAGGAAUAUGAAUUAAAAUUGGAGGUUGAGGAGAAGGAAAAACUAAAGCAAAAGAUUUAUCUGCUGGAAAGAUCAGUGGAUGAAAAGGAAAAAUUAGCAAGUGAUGCAUCAACUGCUCUAGCAAAGGAAAAGGAACAAUGUGAGUUGGUAACUGAAGUUGCUAUUCAGAAGGAAUAUGAAUUAAUAUUGGAGGUUGAAGAGAAGGAAAAACUAAAGCAAAUGAUUUAUUGGCUGGAAAGUUCAGCGGAUGAAAAGGAAAAAUUAGCAAGUGUCGCAUCAACUGCUCUAGCAAAGGAGAAGGAACAGUUUGAGUUGGUAACUGAAGAGCUCAAUGCUGUGAGAGAACAUGCAAGUAGGCAGCAAAGAUUAGUUUCUGAGAGCAAUAUGGAAUUAGAGGCGGUAAAGGUUCAAUUAGCAGAAGCAUUGGAGCAAAUUGAAGCAAUGAAGGAGGAGAUCCGCAGGUUAAAUCAAAAGCUUGUAGACAAGGUGGAGGAGUUAAAAGAAGCCGAUGACAAAGCAAAGAUGGACCUUGUUGUUUCUGAAGAGAGGCAGUACAUUUUGGCCUUAAAUGAAACCAAAGAAAUUGAGCUAAGAAAGCGUAUGGAAGCAGUAAUUUGUAGGGUACAUGAGUUGUCAAAAAUGCUUGAAGAUUUUGAAUGCAGGGUGAGUGGCAGUCUGGAGACAAAUCAGGCUAGGUUGGAUCAUUCAUCGUGUCAGUUGAAUUCUCUUGUUAAGAAGACCAAUUCACUUAGAAGAACAGUGCUAUUGUACCGGCAGAGGCUUGAAAAAAGAUGUUCAGACCUUCAAAUGGCUGAGGCUGAGGUUGAUCUUUUGGGAGAUGAGGUCGAUACACUUUUGCGCUUACUUGAAAAGAUAUACAUCGCACUUGAUCACUACUCACCAGUUUUGCAGCAUUAUCCUGGAAUUGUUGAAAUUCUUAAGCUGAUCAGAAAGGAAUUAUGGGGAGAUUCUGCUAAAUCAGUGAAGUGAUCUCCUACAUAAGAAGGUGCUGGUGAGUUCUAUGCUAUGUUUGGUGAAAGAGGAGGAUAUGAGGAGGGGAAGUAAAAGGAAGUAAAACAGGGAAGAUAAAAGCUCAACUGCUCAAGGUAGAAAGUUCAAAACUGGGAAAUUUUGUUUUUCUUGGUCCUAGCAGAUGAAUGUUGGCUACCAUUUGAAGUCCACUGUAAAGCCAGAAGAUCCAGUUAGUAACAAAGACAAGUUCUAUUUCCUUUAGGAACUUGAAAUAGGGGAGAGCUUUAAAAGCUUCCAUUAUACCUGCUUGUAUAUGGCUCCAUUUUUUUUUCUUGCUGUGCAAACUAGGUACAUCAGGUAGGAAAACCAAACACCCAGUAGCUGCUUCUGUGCAUUUUAGAUAUUUUAGAAUUUAGGGUCUUCAACACGUUUGCCAGCUUUUCUUGUUCACAGAAAGACAGAAUAUACAAAUCACUAGUGCAAUGAAAAGAAAAUCUAUGUUUAUUAUAUUGGUUGCUCUGAUAUAUAUAUUUAUGAGACAAACUAUA